rnacentral:rRNA from 1 species
CUACGGGAGGCUCCAGUGGGGAAUAUUGCACAAUGGACGAAAGUCUGAUGCAGCAACGCCGCGUGGAGGAUGACACAUUUCGGUGCGUAAACUCCUUUUAUAUAGGAAGAUAAUGACGGUACUAUAUGAAUAAGCACCGGCUAACUCCGUGCCAGCAGCCGCGGUAAUACGGAGGGUGCAAGCGUUACUCGGAAUCACUGGGCGUAAAGAGCGUGUAGGCGGGUAGUUAAGUCAGAAGUGAAAUCCAAUAGCUCAACUAUUGAACUGCUUUUGAAACUGAUUACCUAGAAUAUGGGAGAGGUAGAUGGAAUUUCUGGUGUAGGGGUAAAAUCCGUAGAGAUCAGAAGGAAUACCGAUUGCGAAGGCGAUCUACUGGAACAUUAUUGACGCUGAGACGCGAAAGCGUGGGGAGCAAACAGGAUUAGAUACCCUCGUAGUC